rnacentral:rRNA from 1 species
UGCAGUCGAACGGCAGCACGGGAGCAAUCCUGGUGGCGAGUGGCGAACGGGUGAGUAAUAUAUCGGAACGUGCCCAGUCGUGGGGGAUAACGUAGCGAAAGCUACGCUAAUACCGCAUACGAUCUACGGAUGAAAGCGGGGGACUCGUAAGGGCCUCGCGCGAUUGGAGCGGCCGAUAUCAGAUUAGGUUGUUGGUGAGGUAAAAGCUCACCAAGCCUGCGAUCUGUAGCUGGUCUGAGAGGACGACCAGCCACACUGGAACUGAGACACGGUCCAGACUCCUACGGGAGGCAGCAGUGGGGAAUUUUGGACAAUGGACGCAAGUCUGAUCCAGCAAUGCCGCGUGCAGGACGAAGGCCUUCGGGUUGUAAACUGCUUUUGUACGGAACGAAACGGUCUGCUUUAAUACAGUGGGCUAAUGACGGUACCGUAAGAAUAAGCACCGGCUAACUACGUGCCAGCAGCCGCGGUAAUACGUAGGGUGCGAGCGUUAAUCGGAAUUACUGGGCGUAAAGCGUGCGCAGGCGGUUAUAUAAGUCAGAUGUGAAAUCCCCGGGCUCAACCUGGGACCUGCAUUUGAGACUGUAUAGCUAGAGUACGGUAGAGGGGGAUGGAAUUCCGCGUGUAGCAGUGAAAUGCGUAGAUAUGCGGAGGAACACCGAUGGCGAAGGCAAUCCCCUGGACCUGUACUGACGCUCAUGCACGAAAGCGUGGGGAGCAAACAGGAUUAGAUACCCUGGUAGUCCACGCCCUAAACGAUGUCAACUGGUUGUUGGGUCUUCACUGACUCAGUAACGAAGCUAACGCGUGAAGUUGACCGCCUGGGGAGUACNGGCCGCAAGGUUGAAACUCAAAGGAAUUGACGG